AUUGAACGCUGGCGGCAGGCUUAACACAUGCAAGUCGAACGAGUGGCGGACGGGUGAGUAAUGUCUGGGAAACUGCCUGAUGGAGGGGGAUAACUACUGGAAACGGUAGCUAAUACCGCAUACCAUCAGAUGUUCCCAGAUGGGAUUAGCUAUUAGGUGGGGUAACGGCUCACCUAGGCGACGAUCCCUAGCUGGUCUGAGAGGAUGACCAGCCACACUGUAACUGAUACACGGUCCAGACUCCUACGGGAGGCAGCAGUGGGGAAUAUUGCACAAUGGGCGCAAGCCUGAUGCAGCCAUGCCGCGGGUAUGAAGAAGGCCUUCGGGUUGUAAAGUACUUUCAGCGAGGAGGCGUUACUCGCAGAAGAAGCACCGGCUAACUCCGUGCCAGCAGCCGCGGUAAUAC
rnacentral:rRNA from 1 species